rnacentral:rRNA from 1 species
UGGGGAAUAUUGCGCAAUGGGGGCAACCCUGACGCAGCCAUGCCGCGUGAAUGAAGAAGGCCUUCGGGUUGUAAAGUUCUUUCGGUAGCGAGGAAGGCAUUUAGUUUAAUAGACUAGGUGAUAGACGUUAACUACAGAAGAAGCACCGGCUAACUCCGUGCCAGCAGCCGCGGUAAUACGGAGGGUGCGAGCGUUAAUCGGAAUAACUGGGCGUAAAGGGCACGCAGGCGGUGACUUAAGUGAGGUGUGAAAGCCCCGGGCUUAACCUGGGAAUUGCAUUUCAUACUGGGUCGCUAGAGUACUUUAGGGAGGGGUAGAAUUCCACGUGUAGCGGUGAAAUGCGUAGAGAUGUGGAGGAAUACCGAAGGCGAAGGCAGCCCCUUGGGAAUGUACUGACGCUCAUGUGCGAAAGCGUGGGGAGCAAACAGG